AAUGAUUCGUCCCACAUUUCUUUUUUCUUUUUCGAAGGUGAAAGACAUCUUCUUAGCAGAGAAGUGAUGGAGGAUGUUAUCGUUUAAUAAGCCCGAGAAUCUAAAUGAGGUCGUCCAUAAGAAACGUAGAGGUACAUUUACUGUUAGCUCGUAGAAAACGGUACUUCCCAAAAAGAUAGGAAGGAAAUACAGUUUUAUCGUGACUACAUUCCAGUCACGGCCGAUUGAUCGUAACUCUACUACGUGCAUUUCAUAAUACGAUUUUAUUUCGCGGUAACAUCUGUAAAUCUAGAGAUCAAAUGACAAACGAACCAUUUCCAUCAGAAGAGGAUAAGGAAGUGUUUGGAAGCCUGCAAAGUCGAAGAUUUCGUUCCAGCGUAAAAAUAAUCAUCGUCCCGUUGGAAGAAAAAUCAUACACGACAAGAUGGAGAAAAAAAAAAGAGGAAAAGAAUUCGCUGACUGGCUGCAUUCCAAUCAGUCGUAUCUUCUCCGUGCGUUGCACCUACACGCGAGUGCAACGCCUUUCAUUAAUGGGAUUCUUUAUUAACAGUGCCUAAUUUAAGGACUGGCUUCUGCGGCUUGAUAUUUAAUUUUCCGGCAAGGAAAAGCGCAGUGGAAAUCAAAGAAAUUACGCGAUUAAAAUCGAGUUCAGAGAAACAAUUCGCGAACAAUAAAAGCGAUGCAACGUAACACUCAACUUUCUCGUUACAAAGCGAACAAUGCAUUACAGGAAGAGUCCGUAACUAAUUCGAAUUUCGCAGCGGCGGUUGUUUCUAAGAAAAUAAGUAAAAAUGCAUUUAAAUCAGAGCCAACGACGUAGAAAAACGCACGAUGUAAUUUUGCAACGGAAUCAAAGCGACUCUGCACGCAACUUUGAUCAUCAAUAAUUAAGAACAAUCGCCGCCGCUCGUUACAGAUAAAUCGUCGACGGUAUUUUACACGAACUUCAUUGUUUAUCAUUAAAUACAUUUGCUACCGUGAUGCUACGUAUUUGUACGAAUAACAAAUUUAAAGUUAUGAAAUCUAAGCAGAAGAAAAAAUAUGUAGUAGAAUAAAUAUCAAACAAAUUCUUGGAAGUUUUUUCACAAUUACGAUAUCAAGAAAUUAAAUAAUGUAAUAAUGUAAAUAGGUUUAAAAAAAGAUUGUAAAUGAAAUACAUUAACGUUAGAAAAUGGAAAUAAAAAUAAUUCUACGUUCCCUUCACAGAACGUAUGUAAUGCGUAGUCAUUUUUUAUUAAAUACCUGUUAUCAUAAUCUAUAUUUAUUGCAAAAGCAGUUACUUCAUAAUUAUGAAUAUGUAUGUUUGUAGUGUACAUAUAUUAGCCUUACUCGCAUGGUCUUACACGCAACUAGAUCUUAAGCAAACAGAUUUUAAAUUAACAUGCAAAUAAGUAUGUGUAAUGAGAGGAUUAAUAGAUUUACAAGAUAAGAGAAAACAGACGAAAGGGCAGGAAAAUUGAUCGUUAGGAGGAUGCCAGUAGAAAUUGGACCAUUCGACAACCUGUACGCAUGGAAAUGCGCCUGUUCACACGCACAUGCGUGGGUGGCUUAAUCAA
rnacentral:misc_RNA from 1 species